UGGGCUAUAGCUCAGUGGCUUAGAGCGUGCGAUUGCAAAUCGCGAGGUCCCCGGUUCGAUCCUGGGUAGUCCCU